GCCUCACUGGGUCGGCCGCACAGCACCGGGCCACGCGGUGGGGAGCCAGCAUGGGCCCGCGACACCCCACAUCAGCCUGGCCGCAUGGAUCCCCUGGUGGCACCUCCGACUGGGGCAGGAGAGGGCUGGUGGACAACUUCUGGGAGUCACAGGCUGCGCCCAGUGUUAGGGCAGGGCCGUGUCCAUCUCAUCUUCUCAAGUGCCUCCAUGGGCACAUCCCAAUGUUUUCUUUCCAGGUCCUGAAGCCUUCUAUCCUGCCCUUCCCCACGGCCAAGGAGUGGAAGCAGACACCAGGCGGGCUCUGUGUGUGGCCGUGGGGAGCCCGUGUGGCUGCUGGAACCGGUGUGGAGCCGGGAGCUGUGUGCACAGAGGCAACUUACCGCGGGCACCUGGGGCACACGGUGCAGAUGUCCCAGGCAGUGCUGGAGAAUGGACUCGCAGUGCAAGUAACUGUGACAGUGCAACGGGACCCAAUUACUCAAUGCACGCUAGUUGAGGGCUUUCUUCAGAAAAGGCAAGUAAAAUUGCAAUUACUGUAUCAUUUAAAGGCAGGCGCAGGACAAAACAUGCUGAGAGCUUUUGUUUUGUUUUGUUUUAAAUAGAGAAUCCCAGGGACAAGAAAGCUACUGGAAACUCGCGGGCUUUACCUGCUGCUCCACCUGCAGCACUCCUUCCUCUGCUGAGCCGGGUCAAGCCCUGCCUGCCCCCCUGGUGCUGCUGCUCAGAGCCAGCUCUUGCUUCCCCCAUGCCCUGCUGGUGCAAGGACAUGCUGAGGACAAGGCUCCAGGCUGUCCUCCACCCUCCUGACCCUGCAGAGACCAGGACCCAGUGCGGCUGCUCCCAGACAGGACAGGAGCAGGGCCGCAGGCUCUCAUCUCCUCAUAACCACAGCCUGGCCCCAGUGCUCCUGGCUCUCUGGCAGCCAAAAGCUUUUCGCUCGCUCCUUGGCACCAUUCAUCACUCCCAACAGGGCAGCGGCUCGUGCUGGGAGCCUCGUUGUCCUCGAGUAGGCUCGUCCCUCUGCAGGUAGCCUCUGGCUCCUGUCGGAGGAGGAGUGAGGACGCAGAGGAUGCCCUGCCUGCUCUCCUGGCUCCCUGUCCCGUGCCAGGGGACAGGCACCAGCCCGGUGUGACAGCGCGGCCUUGCGUGUCCUCUGCACGACAACUACCGCGGGGAUGCAAUACGGGGGCUUGAGACGCAGCACCUAUGCCCCCCAGAGGGGCUGCCAGCGGCUCGCAGGGCUGCCAGGGGGCCUCUGGGAUGAGCGAGACUCUUGGGGACGAGACGAGGGCACGGCACCCUGAGGCGGGGGCUGCUCCUUGCAGGGCCUGGCCUAGUCCUGGGGCGGGGGGGUGGCAUGGCCCCUCGGGCCGCCAGGAGAGGGUUAACCCCGAGGCAAUGCCACGCUCCCGGCUCACCGCCCUCCCGCUGCCAGUGGCAUGGCUGAAUGGGGAAUUAGCUGUGCCGGUGCUGAGAGCUCUUAAUUAGCCAUUCUUCUGGCUGCGCUGGGGCCAGGAGGGGCACGGGUAGAGCCUCGGGCACCCCCAGCUGCGGCCUGGCCCCGCUCCUGGCGCAACACAAAGGAGCCCAGCGGGCAGUGCC
rnacentral:lncRNA from 1 species